UACUACCUAGAAACCAAAAUGUAAACAAUCGGUUAUGUACAAUGUAAACAAAGGGAAAUUUGUUGUAACCAUUGAUCAUCCUCUUUGCUACACCACUGAUUGGGAAGAGCUGAAUCUACAAGUAACGCUGUACCAUUAUUUCUAUGACAACCGGUAACGGGCUCCGAUAGGGUAAAUAAACAAAGCUCGCUACGAGUAAACAAUUGGUUUGUUUGGAAUUGGCAUAUGGGACCGAUAAUAGCGGCUGGAAAAGGAAACGGUAGAAAACGUGAAAAGUAUAUGAAAAGAGCAGGCUAGAUGAGAUAGCAAAAGGAAUAAUGGGUAAGAUAGAUGGAAGAAUAGAGUUGAGCGGGGAGAAAGAUUUGGGUGGUGGGUAAAUGAGGAAAGAAAAAGGUCGAAUUAUUGGAAUGCAAAGGCUGAUUAAGCGUAAAAGUUUUAAAUCCUUUUUCAAUGGCGCAAAAACUAGCCUGGUAUAUACAUGGAUGCAUAUUACCAAGAUCCUAUAAAAGUCCAUUUGAAAUUUCGCUCUUUUUUGGCUGUCCCUUCUACUAGGGAAGCGGCCAAAAUUCCUAUGAAUAGAAUGGGGAAGAUGGAAAGGCCUGGUUCCUUGAUAUAGCGUGGUUUAAUAGAAUAUCCUAGUAGAACAUUGGGUAUUGCCACAGAACUCGCAAUGCAGAGCGGUGGAAAAAUAACCGUGUACGGGAAUUGAAAAACCAUUGAUGGAAAUGGAUGCUACGGGGAUUUUGGAAUGCAAGCAAUUAUAGCGAAGAACCGGAAUCACAUUAAAAAAUCUAAAAAAUUCAUCAAUUCUCCUUAAUUAGAUACUAUACAUUCAAUCUCUCCAUGUAUUCAAAUCUCUUAAAUUGAAUUCGUCUAUUUCGCCAAUUGUCAAUUACGUUUCCAUACCGUACAUUUGAAGUAACGUUAAAAAUAUUUUAAAAAAACAAAUUCAUUCGGUUGCAUGUUCCGAUUCUAGUAGAACGAUAUUAUUUGAAAAUGGUUUCUUUCUUCUAGUCUACGAAUUACCGAUUUUUUUUCUCGUCAUGAAAUCGCCCGCCAUCGGGAACUUAACGAAUCAAUUGUACUAUAGCGUCUCGGUUUAAAGACGGAAAGGAAAUUUUAGUUGGUUUGCUAUCGUAAUUCCCUGCCAAAAGCAAUGUAAAACGGGAAUCCGAGAUAACAGCAACCCUGGGAAAAUCACUGUUUCCUAUACCGGUUUCUACAACAUUAUUCUAUAACAUUAUCCAGUGAAGUUAAGACUAGCGGUGGUAAGUUAAGUCUCCUCAUUGUUUACACAUCGCCUUUCGUCCUGAAUGCUAGCGAAUGUUUUCAAAGAAGUUGAUUUAUGGAAAUCGCUAGACAUUCAAACUGCGUAGUAUAACAAGCAGCGUCGGUUGGACGAUACAUUGGCGGAAAUUUCAAAAUUAAAAGAAUUUACUUCUCUUGCUCUACUACAUUUCCUUUUUAUCGCUUUAUUUUUCUAAUAAACCUCUAUUAAUGCUCUUUAUGCAUACCUUUCUUGUUAAUUCUAUACUACACUAAUCUUAUUCUAUCCUAAUUCUGGUUUCCCGCCAAUUUCAAUUUAAUAUGACUUUAUGCAAGACAAAAGGCCGAGACUUUAUCCAUGCAAUUGUUUAAAAUAGAUCAGACAUACUUACAUAUAAACGCUUCCAAAACAAGCUUAGCGAACAAUAACUUAGCUUGCACUGGUACAUCGGAAUAUUCACGAUUAUUACUAAAUUGCCACUCAUCCCUGAUUCCUGUAUGUGCUAAAAUUUCAAAUUACUUUUUAUCGCUACAUUGUUAUGUGCAGCCUCGGAUGAUACCGACUAUAAUUUGAUACUAACUAGUUUGUAAUGAUGGCAUUCAAAAUGUUAGCAAUUCAUUCACCAUACCUGUCUCUACUAGUGUAUGUAAUUGUGAGUCUAAUAAGAAAAAUAUGAAAACCUUAAUGAGCAUGACACUUUGUUUUCUGUUCAUCACACUCAUCAAUAAUUCAAUGGGAAAACGAAAUGUGAACGGAUUUUAAGUUGCUGGAAUGGUAAAAUGCGUUCAUUCAAUAAUGUGGAAUUAAAAAAAAAAGACAAGAAAAUAAAAACUUACAAAUUUAAAACAUACUUCAUAAUCCAAACUAUUCUAUUUUUUUGUGAUUUGAAAACGAAAUCACAAAUUUUCC